GUGGGCGUCUUCUAAUGGUUAGGAAACCUCGUUGUGGAUUCUGCAAUCCCGUGGAAAUGUCGGUUCGAUUCCGGCCGCCCACA